AGUGAACGCUGGCGGUAGGCCUAACACAUGCAAGUCGAACGGCAGCACAGUAAGAGCUUGCCCUUACGGGUGGCGAGUGGCGGACGGGUGAGGAAUACAUCGCAAUCUACUUUUUCGUGGGGGAUAACGUAGGGAAACUUCCGCUAAUACCGCAUACGACCUACGGGUUAAAGCAGUGGAUCUUCGGGCCUUUCGCGAUUGAAUGAGCCGAUGUCGCAUUAGCUAGUUGGCGGGGUAAAGGCCCACCAAGGCGACGAUCCGUAGCUGGUCUGAGAGGAUGAUCAGCCACACUGGAACUGAGACACGGUCCAGACUCCUACGGGAGGCAGCAGUGGGGAAUCUUGGACAAUGGGCGCAAGCCUGAUCCAGCCAUACCGCGUGGGUGAAGAAGGCCUUCGGGUUGUAAAGCCCUUUUGUUGGGAAAGAAAAGCAGCAGGUUAAUACCCGGAUGUUCUGACGGUACCCAAAGAAUAAGCACCGGCUAACUUCGUG
rnacentral:rRNA from 1 species